AUCAACUUCUACAAGAGUAGCUAACUUCCCAACUCCAGCUGAAGUAGACUGCAAUGGCAGGACCCAUUAGUCAAAUCAAAAGGCUGUUCCAUGCCUACUAAUUCUUUCUUUGUCCUUUUUGAAGCAGGUGUCCGAGGGGCUGUACUUGUGCCCUCCUAGCCAACCAUCAAGAACUACAGAAAUUGAAAGUUUCAUAACUGGUCCCCCAUCAGAGCCCCUCAGCCAAGAGGACCGGCAGGAGAAGCUGCACUUUGUCAAGGAGGCGUUGGAAGCACGUUCCAGUAAUAUGAGAGCUGGAAAAUACGUCCAAGGAAAUGGAGGCCUCAAGCAAAGAAGUAACCCACACACCCGAGGUCAGGAUGAGAACCAAGGUGAAUUGUUGGAUGGAGGCUUGAAGGAGGAAGACGAAUAAGAGCUGAGCUCUAUGGCACACCAUGAGGGUUACCAAGAAUUUUACCCAUACUGUGUUUUGGUCCUCACCCUCACCCUGAGCUGGGCAAGUAUUGUCCCCAUUUUUUUUUAAUUUAAUUUUUUAGGCAAUUGGGAU
ensembl:lncRNA